rnacentral:rRNA from 1 species
AAAUUGAAGAGUUUGAUCAUGGCUCAGAUUGAACGCUGGCGGCAGGCCUAACACAUGCAAGUCGAGCGGUAGCACAGAGAGCUUGCUCUCGGGUGACGAGCGGCGGACGGGUGAGUAAUGUCUGGGAAACUGCCUGAUGGAGGGGGAUAACUACUGGAAACGGUAGCUAAUACCGCAUAACGUCGCAAGACCAAAGUGGGGGACCUUCGGGCCUCAUGCCAUCAGAUGUGCCCAGAUGGGAUUAGCUAGUAGGUGGGGUAACGGCUCACCUAGGCGACGAUCCCUAGCUGGUCUGAGAGGAUGACCAGCCACACUGGAACUGAGACACGGUCCAGACUCCUACGGGAGGCAGCAGUGGGGAAUAUUGCACAAUGGGCGCAAGCCUGAUGCAGCCAUGCCGCGUGUGUGUGAAGAAGGCCUUCGGGUUGUAAAGCACUUUCAGCGGGGAGGAAGGCGAUAAGGUUAAUAACCUUGUCGAUUGACGUUACCCGCAGAAGAAGCACCGGCUAACUCCGUGCCAGCAGCCGCGGUAAUACGGAGGGUGCAAGCGUUAAUCGGAAUUACUGGGCGUAAAGCGCACGCAGGCGGUCUGUCAAGUCGGAUGUGAAAUCCCCGGGCUCAACCUGGGAACUGCAUUCGAAACUGGCAGGCUAGAGUCUUGUAGAGGGGGGUAGAAUUCCAGGUGUAGCGGUGAAAUGCGUAGAGAUCUGGAGGAAUACCGGUGGCGAAGGCGGCCCCCUGGACAAAGACUGACGCUCAGGUGCGAAAGCGUGGGGAGCAAACAGGAUUAGAUACCCUGGUAGUCCACGCCGUAAACGAUGUCGAUUUGGAGGUUGUGCCCUUGAGGCGUGGCUUCCGGAGCUAACGCGUUAAAUCGACCGCCUGGGGAGUACGGCCGCAAGGUUAAAACUCAAAUGAAUUGACGGGGGCCCGCACAAGCGGUGGAGCAUGUGGUUUAAUUCGAUGCAACGCGAAGAACCUUACCUGGUCUUGACAUCCACAGAACUUUCCAGAGAUGGAUUGGUGCCUUCGGGAACUGUGAGACAGGUGCUGCAUGGCUGUCGUCAGCUCGUGUUGUGAAAUGUUGGGUUAAGUCCCGCAACGAGCGCAACCCUUAUCCUUUGUUGCCAGCGGUUCGGCCGGGAACUCAAAGGAGACUGCCAGUGAUAAACUGGAGGAAGGUGGGGAUGACGUCAAGUCAUCAUGGCCCUUACGACCAGGGCUACACACGUGCUACAAUGGCAUAUACAAAGAGAAGCGACCUCGCGAGAGCAAGCGGACCUCAUAAAGUAUGUCGUAGUCCGGAUUGGAGUCUGCAACUCGACUCCAUGAAGUCGGAAUCGCUAGUAAUCGUAGAUCAGAAUGCUACGGUGAAUACGUUCCCGGGCCUUGUACACACCGCCCGUCACACCAUGGGAGUGGGUUGCAAAAGAAGUAGGUAGCUUAACCUUCGGGAGGGCGCUUACCACUUUGUGAUUCAUGACUGGGGUGAAGUCGUAACAAGGUAACCGUAGGGGAACCUGCGGUUGGAUCACCUCCUUACCUUAAAGAA